AUUCAGCUGACGAGUCCCAAUCAGAACGAAACACGAGUCCUGGAU
rnacentral:hammerhead_ribozyme from 1 species